UACGUAGGUGGCAAGCGUUGUCCGGAGUUACUGGGUGUAAAGGGCGUGUAGGCGGGAAGAUAAGUCAGAUGUGAAAUUCCAUGGCUCAACUGUGGCGCUGCAUCUGAAACUAUUUUUCUUGAGUGAUGGAGAGGAAAGUGGAAUUCCUAGUGUAGCGGUGAAAUGCGUAGAUAUUAGGAGGAACACCAGUGGCGAAGGCGACUUUCUGGACAUUAACUGACGCUGAGGCGCGAAAGCGUGGGGAGCAAAC
rnacentral:rRNA from 1 species